UAAAGCGCGUUUACGUUUUGA
rnacentral:piRNA from 1 species